rnacentral:rRNA from 1 species
UACGGGGGGGGCAAGCGUUGUUCGGAAUUACUGGGCGUAAAGGGCUCGUAGGCGGCCAACUAAGUCGGACGUGAAAUCCCCAGGCUCAACCUGGGAACUGCGUCCGAUACUGGAUGGCUUGAAUCCGGGAGAGGGAUGCAGAAUUCCAGGUGUAGCGGUGAAAUGCGUAGAGAUCGGGAGGAACGCCAGUGGCGAAGGCGGCUACCUGGACCAGCACUGACACUGAGGCACGAAAGCGUGGGGAGCAAACAGG